rnacentral:rRNA from 1 species
UACGGAGGGAGCUAGCGUUGUUCGGAAAUCCUGGGCGUAAAGCGCACGUAGGCGGCGCAGCACGUCAGGGGUGAAAUCCCGGGGCUCAACCCCGGAACUGCCCUUGAAACUGCAGUGCUAGAAUCUUGGAGAGGCGAGUGGAAUUCCGAGUGUAGAGGUGAAAUUCGUAGAUAUUCGGAAGAACACCAGUGGCGAAGGCGACUCGCUGGACAAGUAUUGACGCUGAGGUGCGAAAGCGUGGGGAGCAAACAGG